UAUGGAAUCAGAUAGUAAUACAGCUGUACCGUUAGAUGUCGUAUUCGACGGUGUAUACAUUAUCGAACGUCGCCGUCUACCUGGUUCAAUUUGCUGGAAAGGAAUACUUGAUUCAUUUCUGGACAAGGCUCGCAAUCGGUUUUACACAGUUCCACAUUGCAUUCGAUGAAUAGAUCCAUCACAUCGGGGAAUUUGAAAGCUUGGAAAUCGAAGCCAGGAUCCCCUUCUACAGAUACAACUAAAGUCAUGGUCUCUCCGAUUUUAACGAGUCCAUCGGCAGUAGGCGCGAAUGGUCCUCGUCCCACUUGUAUAUCCAAUUUAGCGGUUGCUGUGUCACCGCUGAACGUCACUAUUUCCUGAUUCAACAUAUCUACUGAGAAAUUCACCGUCAAGGCUUUGUUAAUGUUCCCUUCCCACAGACAACGAACUCUUCGCACUGUAUCCCAAACCUCUUGUAUUCCUGGUUCGUUCUAAACAGAGAGAAGAAAGAAAGUUAAGUGAUUCAGAUUUUAUCGAAAUUGUGCAAAGUUUGAAAUGAAAUUUUACCUGCAAAACUAAAACAUUUUCAAGAUAUGCCUGACCAGCUUCACCUGCGAAAUCGUUGAUGAAUUGAGUACCGCAGGAAUCCAAACUGACCGUGAACGAAUAUUUCGUCUGCCCAGAAUUUUGCUCGACAUAUCUACAUUCUGGAUUCGUAUAAAAUCCCUGCGAAUAUGUAAAGGAUGAAUAUAAAAUAUGUGAUAAAGAUGAGUAUGACAAUUCAAAAUAUCAUAUUCCUUAUUUACUUUCGAAUAAAUAACACCAUCGAAAGCGCGAUUGAACUCGAUGUUGAUAGUCAUCAUAGUCUUACUGCACUCCACAUCGAGGGAAUGAAUGUGUGGAGGAUGUUUUAAAUCAUCUUCUGUCGCACCUUCACCUAUCGUCGUUCCAGAACCGCUUGUUCCUACAAUGACGAAUAAAAUAUGAAUUACAAUCUCUUCGUGACUUGCAUUGUCAUCGAAUAUAAUC